rnacentral:rRNA from 1 species
CGGAAGUCUGACCGAGCAACGCCGCGUGAGUGAAGAAGGUUUUCGGAUCGUAAAGCUCUGUUGUAAGAGAAGAACGAGUGUGAGAGUGGAAAGUUCACACUGUGACGGUAUCUAACCAGAAAGGGACGGCUAACUACGUGCCAGCAGCCGCGGUAAUACGUAGGUCCCGAGCGUUGUCCGGAUUUAUUGGGCGUAAAGCGAGCGCAGGCGGUUAGAUAAGUCUGAAGUUAAAGGCUGUGGCUUAACCAUAGUACGCCUUGGAAACUGUUUAACUUGAGUGCAAGAGGGGAGAGUGGAAUUCCAUGUGUAGCGGUGAAAUGCGUAGAUAUAUGGAGGAACACCGGUGGCGAAAGCGGCUCUCUGGCUUGUAACUGACGCUGAGGCUCGAAAGCGUGGGGAGCAAACAGGAUUAGAUACCCUGGUAGUCCACGCCGUAAACGAUGAGCGCUAGGUGUUAGACCCUUUCCGGGGUUUAGUGCCGCAGCUAACGCAUUAAGCACUCCGCCUGGGGAGUACGA